GACGGAGGGGGCAAGCGUUGUUCGGAAUUAUUGGGCGUAAAGGGCGCGUAGGCGGUCAGCACAAGUCAGUUGUGAAAUCUCCGGGCUUAACUCGGAAAGGUCAACUGAUACUGUGCGACUAGAGUGCGGAAGGGGCAACUGGAAUUCUCGGUGUAGCGGUGAAAUGCGUAGAUAUCGAGAGGAACACCUGCGGCGAAGGCGGGUUGCUGGGCCGACACUGACGCUGAUGCGCGAAAGCCAGGGGAGCGAACGGG
rnacentral:rRNA from 1 species